rnacentral:rRNA from 1 species
GACGAACGCUGGCGGCGUGCUUAACACAUGCAAGUCGAACGGAAAGGCCCUGCUUUUGUGGGGUGCUCGAGUGGCGAACGGGUGAGUAACACGUGAGUAACCUGCCCUUGACUUUGGGAUAACUUCAGGAAACUGGGGCUAAUACCGGAUAGGAGCUCCUGCUGCAUGGUGGGGGUUGGAAAGUUUCGGCGGUUGGGGAUGGACUCGCGGCUUAUCAGCUUGUUGGUGGGGUAGUGGCUUACCAAGGCUUUGACGGGUAGCCGGCCUGAGAGGGUGACCGGCGACAUUGGGACUGAGAUACGGCCCAGAAUCCUACGGGAGGCAGCAGUGGGGAAUAUUGCACAAUGGGCGGAAGCCUGAUGCAGCGACGCCGCGUGCGGGAUGACGGCCUUCGGGUUGUAAACCGCUUUCGCCUGUGACGAAGCGUGAGUGACGGUAAUGGGUAAAGAAGCACCGGCUAACUACGUG